UAAAUACUCCCUCCGUCCAACAAAAGAUGUCUCAAAUUUGUUAAAAUUUAAAUGUAUCUAGAUAUGACUUAGUGUGUAGAUGCAUUCAAAUUUGAUUAAAAUUGAGACAUCUUUUGUUGGACGGAGGAAGUAUUUC
rfam:Brachypodium distachyon strain Bd21 chromosome 1, whole genome shotgun sequence.